UACGUAGGGAGCAAGCGUUGUCCGGAUUUACUGGGCGUAAAGAGCGCGCAGGCGGUCGAUCAAGUCGAGUGUGAAAGCCCCCGGCUCCAACUGGGGAGGGUCAUUCGAUACUGAUCGACUCGAAGGCAGGAGAGGGUAGUGGAAUUCCCGGUGUAGUGGUGGAAAUGACGUAGAUAUCGGGAGGAACACCAGUGGCGAAGGCGACUACCUGGCCUGUUCUUGACGCUGAGGCGCGAAAGCUAGGGGAGCAACGGG
rnacentral:rRNA from 1 species